CGGACGAACGCUGGCGGCGUGGAUUAGGCAUGCAAGUCGGACGGUAGGGCUUUAUCGUAAGAUAGAGUUUGAGAGUGGCGAACGGGUGAGUAACACGUAGGAAUCUACCCUUAAGACGGGGACAACCCAGGGAAACUUGGGCUAAUACCGGAUGAGAGUGCGAGAGAUUGCAUUUAAAAGGAUGGCGAAAGUUGUCGCUUAGGGAUGAGCCUGCGGUCUAUUAGUUAGUUGGUGAGGUAAGAGCUCACCAAGGCGAUGAUAGAUAGGCGGCCUUAACGGGUGGUCGCCCACACUGGGAUUGAGAUACGGCCCAGACUCCUACGGGAGGCAGCAGUGAGGAAUAUUGCGCAAUGGGGGCAACCCUGACGCAGCAACGCCGCGUGAGUGAGGAAGGUUUUCGGACUGUAAAGCUCUGUCGAGCGGGAAGAAGUGUACCAUGGCUAAUAUCCAUGAUAUUUGACGGUACCGCUAGAGGAAGCACCGGCUAACUCCGUG
rnacentral:rRNA from 1 species